GUGUGUGUUGGACAGUUAGGUUGGAGGGUGCAGAAAACACCCGAAGUAUCUCGGAAGCUAGCACCGUCUGGGGCCCUGUGCUUUCUCAGUGCAGCUGGGCAGCUGUCAGGAGGUCAGCGUAAGGGCAUGAAUGACUGAAGCUCGAAGGAAUAAGAAUGGUCUAGUCACUAUCGUGAAAAGUGCUGUUUCAAGAGAGUACAGCCUCUAAACUCCAUAAAAGUUUCCUACUGGUCAAGCUGAAGGACUCUUAAGCUGUGGUGUGCCUAGAACAUAAUCAUGGCCCAUUGAUAUUCAAGUAAAGUAGCAGAUGCUUCAGCUGGAAAAUCUUUAAUCUUUGUGGAAAGAAAUUGAACUUUAAACCUUACACACUGAAAAGAAAAAAAACUGCUAAGGACAGAUGAAAUUUCUUCUGGGCUCUCUGUUUUCUGCAUCAGCUGUGGACCUUCAUCCUGGCCACUAGGGGACUUUGGUUUUGAUCAUAUUCCAAAGAUCUGGCAAUUAAUUAGCAUGAACAGAGUUGUUAAGAAGUUGCAUAAAGAGCUCGCAGUGUUAUAAUCCAUGUUCUUUUAUCUCAAAAAAUUUCUGAGUAGAUGUGUGAUCCACAAGGAUACAUGAUCUGUUAACUCUGAGAAUGAUCACUGAUGACCUGGAGAUUUGUUAGUAUUUGGGGAAGUGUCAGCUAUAUUGGCAACGUUCUUCAAAGAAGCCGUGGUCUCUAGUGGGCCUCAGUGAUAGCCAGACUAGAGAUGGUUUUGCUACUAUUCAAUUCCAUCUGUGGGGGUGGGGUAUGAUUAACAUGAUCCUUGAUUAACAAGAGGAAAGCUUCUCACCAGUAGAGUGGAAGAAACCCCCUUGGGAAGUAGAAGACAUAAUCAGAUUGCCUGGAAAUCAGGCUUUACGUGAACAGUUUAUGGAUGGUUUAUACAGAAAAUAAAAUAUUAAAUUAUCUCUUUUUGGGUAGAGGAUGCAAGGGAAUCACAUAGCACCUCCACAUUUACUUGUCCCAUUUUAGGACAAAUAUUUAGAAGAAGAAGAAGAAGAGGACCCAGCAUAUGAUGUUGCAGAACCAGUUUGGAGACAUAGCCCAAACAUUUAAUAAGAUCAGCCAGGCUUUACCUUAGGAGCCAGGAUGGGGAGGGACCAGGACUACCUCCAAAGGCUCAUUUGCUUCAGCCUGUGCUAUGGAAGUCUGCCUCCCACAAGCUGACUGUAUUGCCUGAUUUCUAAUUAGCCUUCCAACCACAGUCACAGCAUGAAUCUUGGAUCAAGGGUCUCAUCUCCCAGUAAUCUACUGUUAUUUUACUCACAACCUCUGCCUGAAGAACAUAUACCUUUCCUGACCAAUAGUUAUGCCCAUCCUGAGUCUGACAGGCAUGGUUUCCCUACAUGUAAGAAAUGUUUAUUGAUCACCUAAUAGAUGAAAUGCAAAUGUGAGCAGGAAACAACCCCUAUAUUUGAGAUGCUUCUAGUCUGUGGGGUGGGGGUGGGGGCAAAGGUAAACAGGUAAUUAUAAUAGUAUGUACAAUAGUGGGGUAAACACUGUCAUAAGAACCCAUUGGAGGAGCACUCGUUUUAAUAUUAGGCUCUACUAAAUAGUUCAAAGCAGACCAACUUGCUUUAUUUCUGGUUUUCAAAAUGGCGGCCAUCAUGACUACUAUAUUUGGUUGACUAAGUUCAUUGGAUUCCAGUACCCCAUAGAUGGCUUCUCCCAUGACUCCUAGACCAGGGAAUAAUGGUGUAUGCAAUAGUUGCACACUGUGGAGGCGUCACCGCUCACAGAGUUGCUCCAGCUCCACUUACCCUUUCUCUUUGCUAUAGGUGACUGCAGCACAGAUUAAAACUCCUUGGUAACAGCUAGCUGUUCUUUUUGGAGAAUCUUCAAAAGUAAAUCUUCCAUAUCAUGCAGAUAUGGAAGCAGGUGGAAACCCUAAAAGGCAGCCCCUACAAAGGGGGCUCCUUAGACUUCUGCUGUUGAGAGUCCCCACAUCUCAGCCCUGUUCUGCCCUUCCCAAUCCUUGUUCCUCAUUUUUAAUUCUGCAAGACACUCUGGUAUUCUUAUAGUAAUUUUUUAUGCUUGAAUUAUCCAUGUUUUGUGCUUGUAGCCCAAGAAUGCUUAUGAUGUGCUUGAAUAUUCUUUAGCUCUAUUUGUGUAAUUUCAAAAAAUAUAUCACUUGUGUUCAGACAAUGCACACCAAUUUUGCUGCUGUUAGCUGUAAGUGCUGAGGAAUGUUUCUGACUUCCUACAACUCCAUCUCUUUAGACAGAAAAGCAGAAUUGAUAUCUCCUGGUUGCUAGGUUCAAAGGUCAGCUGAAGGCAGAAGUGGAAUCAAGACAUCUUCUAGAGCUUUCUCUGCUGCUUACUUUAUUCAAGGCUAAAGGAUUUGGGGGAGAAGAGGACCUAGUCCUUGUAUUUCACUUUUCUAGUGUUUCUUGGCAAGCCAGGACUCUUGCUCUUAACUUCUGAAACUAAUCUAGCUCUUAUGUUUGCCUUAGAUGGGCCAGGAGUCCCACCCACACUAACUCCCUAU